AUGGCCGCAGUCGGGGGAUGGCAAAACGAGGGGGGAAAGAGGGAAAACGCGGCGGGGUGGAAUGGUUAGGAGGGUGUGUUUCAGGGCAUGACGGGGGGCCCCUGCAGCCUAGGCGACGCAUUCGCUUGAACGUCACCAUGGCCGCAGUCCGGGGAUGGCAAAAUGAGGGGGGAAAGGGGGAAAACACGGCGGGGCGGAAUGGUUAGGAAUGCGUGUUUAAGGGUAUGACGGGGGGCCCCCGCAACCUAGGCGACGCAUUCGCUUCAAUGUCACCAUGGCCGCAGUCUGGGGAUGGCAAAACAGCAUCCCAGG
rnacentral:lncRNA from 1 species